rnacentral:lncRNA from 10 species
AAUUAAUGUUAGUCACUGUUGUCUUUUUUGUUUUUGUUUUUUUUUUUUUUUUUUGAGGCGGAGUCUCGCUCUUUCGCCCAGGCCGGACUGCAGUGGCGCUAUCUCGGCUCACUGCAAGCUCCGCCUCCCGGGUUGACGCCAUUCUCCUGCCUCAGCCUCCUGAGUAGUUGGGAUUACAGGCGCCCGCCACCGCGCCUGGCUAAUUUUUUGUAUGUUUAGUAGAGACGGGGUUUCACCGUGUUAGCCAAGAUGGUCUCGAUCUCCUGACCUCGUGAUCCGCCUGCCUCGGCCUCCGGCCUCCCAAAGUGCUGGGAUUACAGGCGUGAGCCACCGCGCCCGGCCCUCACUGUUGUCUUUUAAGUAGUGAAACAGGAAUGUCUCUCUGAUCAGAAAGCACAAUUAAGAUUCUGCAGAAAAGGAAAUCCAGCUCGGUGCCACCAAUCUGUACUAGGAAUGAAGAUUUGUUACCUGUCCUGCUGACGUCAGACCCAGCACCAGGUGCAGAAGCAACCAUCAUACAAAAAUCAAGCUUCCUUAAUUAUCCUCUGAAGAGUCCCUACCAGCAAGAAGGCUCUCACCAGACGUGGCCCUUUGACCUUGGAUUUCUCAGCCUUCAAAACUGGACUCUGAUUAGGAACGUCAUGUCCCAAAGCAGAUCAGAGCCCAGAUGGGGCAGAGGGUCUCAGAUCUACAACACCUGAACACCUCCCCUGAGGAAGCCUCAAGUUCAGUGCUAGCUCUGCAGUCAACAUCAACCUAAAAUAUUACUACAGACAGAAAUCGUUCUGGAUCAAAAUUCUGAUCUUCUUUCCACUUUUUCAGACUCAUCAGAAGAGGUGUCUAAGAAGAUGCACAAAAAAAUUUGCAAGUGGACCAUUAUUGCCUGAGGGUCUAAAGUUUUACCAGAUUCUUUUUACAAUGAAGUAUAUAUAGUGUACAUGCUUGGGGAAAAUGCUGGGUCUUAAACCCAACCUCUAUUAACACGAUUAUUGCUCAUUAAUCAUGGCUGAAAAAUCUGGCAUCAAGAAUCACCGAGAUCCUAGCUACUCAAAGUGUAAUCCCUGGAUCAACAGCAUCAGCAGCAUCUGAGAGCUUGUUGGAGAUGCAGAAUCUCAGGCAGACCUACUGAACCAAAAAAAAAAAAAAAAUCUCAUUUUAACAAGACCCACAGGGGAUUGAAAUUUUCCUUCCACAUUUGAGAAGCACUGCUCUAGAUCCUCUCUCUUGAGGAGGUCAUUUACGUCAGGUUCUAUUCUUAAUAGGAAACAGGUUGAGAAAUAAAAACCUCAACAGGGCUACAAAUACGAACCCAGAAAAUGUGAAGUUUUUAGUGAAUGUUGAAAACAAGGCAGCAAAAUGGCUGUUUAUUAAACCUAAUAUAUUCUGUACUGAGAUCAAAAGGCAGGUGUUACAAGGACCAUAGCUCUAAUUAUGAAGUUGGCUAUUUCAACACGACCAGCCACUGAACACUACACGCUUCCCCUUCGUGCUUUUAGUCUUUCCCAUAAAUGCCACAUGGUUCUUUUGGCAGAAUUAGCUCCCAGAUUUGCAGUGGGAAUUAGACAAGAACAUUUUCUCCUUCCUUUCCUUUGAGAUGCAGGGAUGGGGGCUAGAGCAGGCAGCAGGGAGCACUUCUGAGGCCAGGAGUAAGCAAAACUAAAACCAGAGAAGGGGUGCCAAGAUAUGAAUGCCAGAGGGAACAUAAGGGCACAAAACUGCAAGAGGGGGAAGGAGGGUGACACAUUGCCAGGUGCCUGGGACCAGAGACGCACCAAGUGGUAGGGUCUUUUUAAAAUUUUAUUUCUUAGAAUGUAUUUUUAAUUAACAAAUAAAACUUAUAUUUAUGGUAUCUAACAUGAUGUUUUGGAAUAGGUAGACACUGUGCAAUGGCUAAAUCCAGCUAAUUAACAUAUGCAUUGCCUCACAUUUUUAUUUUUUUGUGCUGAGAACACUUAAAAUCUACUCUUAGCGAUUUUCAAGAACAUAAUACAUUGUUAUUAAUUAUAGUCACUGUGUUGUACAAUAGAUCUCUUGAAUUUAUUCACCCUGUCUAAGUGAAAUUUUGUAUCCUUUGACCACCCCUCUCCCAGUGCCCAGGCAACCAGCAUUCCGCUGUCUGCUUCCAUGUGUUACACUUUUUUAGCUUCCAUGUAUAUGAGUGAGAUCAUGUGGGAUUUGCCUUUCUGUUUUUGGCUUAUUUCACUUAGCAAAUGUCCUCCAGGUUCACGCAUGUUGUCACAAAUGACAGAACUUCUUCUCUUUUUAAGGCUGAGUAGUAUUCCAUUGUGUAUAUAUACCACAUUUUCUUUAUCAGCUCAUCUGUUGAUAGACAUUUAGGUUGAUUCCAUAUCUUGACUGUUGUGAAUAGUGCUGCAACAAACAUGAGAGGGGGUGCAGAUAUCUCUUUGACAUACCGAUUUCAUUUCCUUUGUAUCUAUACUGAGCAGUGGG